rnacentral:misc_RNA from 1 species
UCCGGUUUGUCACCGGCAGUCUCGCAUGAGUCCCCAACUAAAUGCUGGCAACAUGCGACGGGGGUUGCGCUCGUUGCGGGACUUAACCCAACAUCUCACGACUCGAGCUGACGACAGCCAUGCACCACCUGUGAUCCUGCCCCGAAGGGAAGCUGUGUUUCCACAGCGGUCAGGAACAUGUCAAGCCCAGGUAAGGUUCUUCGCGUUGCGUCGAAUUAAACCACAUGCUCCACCGCUUGUGCGGGCCCCCGUCAAUUCCUUUGAGUUUUAGCCUUGCGGCCGUACUCCCCAGGCGGGGUGCUUAAUGCGUUAGCUUCGGCACGGACGGGGUCGAUGUCCGCCCACACCUAGCACCCAACGUUUACGGCUAGGACUAC